AUUGAACGCUGGCGGCAUGCUUUACACAUGCCAGUCGAACGGCAGCGCGGGCUUCGGCCUGGCGGCGAGUGGCGAACGGGUGAGUAAUGCAUCGGAACGUGCCCAGUAGUGGGGGAUAGCCCGGCGAAAGCCGGAUUAAUACCGCAUACGACCUGAGGGUGAAAGCGGGGGACCGAAAGGCCUCGCGCUAUUGGAGGGGCCGAUGUCGGAUUAGCUAGUUGGUGGGGUAAAGGCUUACCAAGGCGACGAUCCGUAGCUGGUCUGAGAGGACGACCAGCCACACUGGGACUGAGACACGGCCCAGACUCCUACGGGAGGCAGCAGUGGGGAAUUUUGGACAAUGGGGGCAACCCUGAUCCAGCCAUGCCGCGUGCGGGAAGAAGGCCUUCGGGUUGUAAACCGCUUUUGUUCGGGAAGAAAUCCUCUGGGCUAAUACCCCGGGGGGAUGACGGUACCGGAAGAAUAAGCACCGGCUAACUACGUG
rnacentral:rRNA from 1 species